UCAGUUCUCACCCAACCUAACAAAAAGUCUACAUCAGCCUGUCAAGGAGUUGUUACGAAAACAUGAACACAUAAGAACGAGGGCUCCCUCAUGAAGUAUGAAAGAUCCGAACGUUGUUAGGUGUCUUUUUUCGAGGCCUGCCAUGUCAUGUCGUUUAUGUUUCAAUCGCGGUUUCUGCUCGCCACCAAUGUGGGUGUGUCGUUCUUCUUGAGUGGGCUGGGCGAUGUGCUGCAACAACAGUGGGAAAGCCACCAUUCCCUUCCGAAAUCUCCCUUGGGAACAUCAUCCCUCAAGUCCAGCCCGGAUAGCAAAAGUGGCCACUUGACUUGGAAUCUGUCCCGAACCCUGCACAUGAGUACAUCAUUCGGCUUAACGGCUGGAUUCCUGUGUCAUUACUGGUACAACUUUUUGGAUCGCUUUCUACCCGGUCGGGCUCUGAGAAUAGUGGCCCAAAAAGUGAUCUUUGAUCAAGUGAUUUUCAGUCCCAUUUGCAUCUCGACUUGCCUUAUCACAGCCGGUCUGUUGGAAGGUAGUCCAAAGCAUGACAUUUACCAAGAUCUGGCCGACAAAGGGAUCAAAUUGUACGUGGCCGAAUGGUUCUUGUGGCCCCCGGCUCAAUUCAUUAACUUCUAUUUCCUCUCCACCCGUUACCGGGUCGUCUUCGAUAACCUCGUCUCGUUAGUGUAUGACGUGUACACAUCUCACGUGAAGCAUCAAUCUCCCGCCAAAGAAGACAUGUUCAGAGACAUGAUGAACAACUCCAGUUGAUACGAAGCAUGUUCCUACUCCGCAUUGCUCGUCCCCUUGGGAGUUUUAGUCCAGUUCCUCUGCGACUAUCCAAGCCAAGUGUUUGGACCCGAACCAAAAUGACGGGACCGCACUUUUAUUCGGGCUCCGGCGAUAAUCUUACUCAAGAUGCCUUUCUGGAAGGUCUCAGACCUUCAUCCAAACGCUUACUUCUCGUGGGUGAGAAUCAUAUGGACCCUGAGGCUCAUGCCUUGGAACUAGACAUUCUCAAAUGGGUCCAUUCCGAGUGUGGUAAAGGUGGUCGGAAAUUGGCUUUGUCCUUGGAGUUCUAUGACCGACAAGCUCAACCUGUGAUGAACGAAUACCUGGGAGAUUUUCUGAGUGAAGAGACGUUUCUCAGUGAUGCAAACGCCCCCGGGAACGCCUCGGAUUAUCAGCCUUUGAUCAACUAUUGCAAAGAAUUCCAGCUACCCGUGAUUGCGGCCAAUUGCCCCCGGCGGUACACGUCCAUGGUGUCCAAAUAUGGUCGUAACAAAUUGAGCGAGUUGGUACAAGCUUGUCCCAGUUCCUCAGCGUUUCUGCCCCCGAUUCCGUAUGAGGGAGCGAGUGAGAAAUAUAAGGCCAAUUUCAUUGAAAUCAUGCGAUCCAUUGGAAACAAUAAUGCACGUGUUCCCACCUCAAUGUUGGAUGCUCAAUCCUUGUGGGACGCCACAAUGGCCCAUAGCCUAGCCCAAGGACUGGAUUUCUGUGAUGUAAUCAUCCAUGUAACGGGGUUCUUCCACAUAAAACAAGGCCUAGGCAUCCUCGAACAUUUGAACAAGUACCUUUCUCAUCCGGUGGAAUCAGUCAGCGUUGUUAUUAUGCCUGAAGAAGAUCCGAGCCAAUUCAAACCCGGAGAUCAUGAACAAAUGGGAGAUUUUGUCGUCCUCACCGAUCUGAACCAAAUAUGAAGUCAAUUUAGAAAGAAUAAAAGUCGAAGUGGAA